rnacentral:lncRNA from 1 species
GGGUCAACCAACUCCAUGGAUGGUAAGGAAUUGUUAAGACCAUGACCUAUGAAAAGAAAACUUAAAUUCUGCUUUUGCAAAGUAGUUAAGAAAGGUCGUAUGAAGGUAGGCCCUUCAAGCUACAUUUAAACGUCGUUUCUAAUGAGUUCAUCUUUCGAAUGCUUAUUUCAUUUUGUCAAUAAACCAUAUAUAAAAUUAGGAAUGGCAACCAAGGGUAAGAUACGAACUCAAGCAUGCUGAUAAGGGGGGCCUAAUGUAGAAAUUUG